AGGUUUUUGUUUAGUACGUAGGCAUAAGCCCUCAGCUGAGGGUUAUGAAUCGUGCAUGCCAUCCAAGGACAUUAGAUGGUAUCUUUAGAAGAUUUCAUUUUCCU
rfam:Drosophila melanogaster chromosome 3R.